UCCGAGCUAGUAUAGUGGUCAGUAUCCCUGCCUGUCACGCAGGAGACCGGAGUUCGAUUCUCCGGCUCGGAG